GACGUAGGGGGCGAGCGUUAUCCGGAUUCACUGGGCGUAAAGGGCGCGCAGGCGGCUAUGUAAGUCCGGCGUGAAAUCCCACGGCUCAACUGUGGAAUUGCGUCGGAUACUGCAUUGGCUUGAGGACGGUAGAGGCUUCUGGAACUAGCGGUGUAGCGGUGAAAUGCGCAGAUAUCGCUAGGAACGCCGGUGGCGAAGGCGGGAGGCUGGGCCGUUCCUGACGCUGAGGCGCGAAAGCUAGGGGAGCGAACCGG
rnacentral:rRNA from 1 species